AGAGUUUGAUCCUGGCUCAGGAUGAACGCUAGCGGCAGGCUUAAUACAUGCAAGUCGAACGGUAAGUAUUGUAGCAAUAUGAUACGAGAGUGACGUACGGGUGCGUAACACGUAUGCAACCUACCUUGUACAGGAGGAUAGCUCGGGGAAACUCGAAUUAACCCUCCAUAACAUAGUGAUGUGGCAUCACAUUAUUAUUAAAACUCAGGUGGUACAAGAUGGGCAUGCGUCUGAUUAGUUAGUUGGCGGGGUAACGGCCCACCAAGACGAUGAUCAGUAGGGGACCUGAGAGGGUGAUCCCCCACACUGGCACUGAGAUACGGGCCAGACUCCUACGGGAGGCAGCAGUAGGGAAUAUUGGUCAAUGGAUGCAAGUCUGAACCAGCCAUGCCGCGUGCAGGAAGAAGGCGUUAUGCGUUGUAAACUGCUUUUGCCAGGGGAUAAAAAAUCUGUGCGCAGAUAAUUGAAGGUACCUGGGAAUAGC
rnacentral:rRNA from 1 species